rnacentral:sRNA from 1 species
GAGCAGACUGUUCUGCCAGCAUCCUGUGUGGAGGCAAAGAGGUUCUGUGAAGAGGCCGGAAUGAACAUCUGUGUCCCCAGAGCCAAGCAGUUGCAGGUCCAGCAAGUAUCUGCAUAGCAAGAUUUCCUGAAGUGGAAAUGAGUACAGGCCAGGGCAGCACAGCCUGCUUGACUGUAAGAGACUUGUACAUAACAUAGCUCCCACUAAUUCUUCAUUCAACAGAAAACCUGCUGGAUAAAAGCCUUGGGCACGAAGUCAGUCAAGUUAAGGUAAAGAGAGCUGCUAUUAGAAGAAGCUGCACACUUUGGGGGCAAGCCUGAAACAGUGGCCAAGAACAGAGUCUAAUCCACCACCAACAUAUGAUCCUUUGCUGGGAAACAAGCCUGCUCUACACAGCCUUGGGAACGAGCUAAGCCAGAUUGGGGAAUAAGGCAAGGACCAUGAUUCUAUGUUGGUUUAUGGGAGGACAGCACAACACUGACUGAGUUGUUUAUAGGCUAUAGGCUAUGCCUGCUAUGUACAUAUCCCACUCAACAUUUGUUUUUAUGCCUUCAGAGAAUCCUGGGCGGUCUUUAUAUUAAGGAUUACCUCAGAAAGUAAACACUUGACUGCAAUGUACUAUGCUUAUAUUGUGUGAACACACAUGUGUUCUGUGUUUGGGAGUGUGUAUUAGUGUUUCUGUGUGUCUGUGUGUGUUUGUAUGUGCACACAGGUAUGCAUGCCUCCACUGACAUUACACUCAUCUAAUGACCAGAAUAAGGAAGGAUUAGAGGAAACAAUGCAGGACACUCUGAAGCAGAGAGAACUGAUCACCCAGGAAAGUGACUUGGG